rnacentral:tRNA from 1 species
AAAAAGUUAGUUAAAUAAAAAUAACAUUAAUAUGUCAAAUUAAAAUUACUAAAAUUUAGUACUUUUUG